AGAAUCAACGCUGGCGGCGCGCUUAACACAUGCAAGUCGAACGAGAAAGUGGAGCAAUCCAUGAGUACAGUGGCGUACGGGUGAGUAACACGUGGAUCAUCUACCUCUUGGUGGGGAAUAACCCUGGGAAACCGGGGCUAAUACCGCAUAACCCUGAGAAGGCAAAGCUGGAUAAAACCGGUGCCGGGAGAGGAGUCCGCGGCCGAUUAGCUAGUUGGUAGGGUAAUGGCCUACCAAGGCAAUGAUCGGUAGCCGGCCUGAGAGGGCACACGGCCACACUGGCACUGAAACACGGGCCAGACUCCUACGGGAGGCAGCAGUGGGGAAUCUUGCACAAUGGGGGCAACCCUGAUGCAGCGACGCCGCGUGAGCGAUGAAGCCCUUCGGGGUGUAAAGCUCUUUCGGCAGGGACGAUAAUGGCGGUACCUGAAGAAGAAGCUGCGGCUAACUACGCGCCAGCAGCCGCGGUAA
rnacentral:rRNA from 1 species